UUGGANUGGGCGGAAGCCUGAUCCAGCAACGCCGCGUGAGGGAUGACGGCCUUCGGGUUGUAAACCUCUUUCAGCACAGACGAAGCUGGUUCCACGUGUGGGACGGGUGACGGUAUGUGCAGAAGAAGCACCGGCCAACUACGUGCCAGCAGCCGCGGUAAUACGUAGGGUGCGAGCGUUGUCCGGAAUUAUUGGGCGUAAAGGGCUCGUAGGCGGUUUGUCGCGUCGGGAGUGAAAUCCACUGGCUUAACUGGUGGCUUGCUUUCGAUACGGGCAGACUGGAGGUAUGCAGGGGAGAACGGAAUUCCUGGUGUAGCGGUGAAAUGCGCAGAUAUCAGGAGGAACACCGGUGGCGAAGGCGGUUCUCUGGGCAUGUCCUGACGCUGAGGAGCGAAAGUGUGGGGAGCGAACAGGAUUAGAUACCCUGGUAGUCCACACCGUAAACGUUGGGCGCUAGGUGUGGGAUCCAUUCCACGGGUUCCGUGCCGCAGCUAACGCAUUAAGCGCCCCGCCUGGGGAGUACGGCCGCAAGGUUAAAACUCAAAGAAAUUGACGGA
rnacentral:rRNA from 1 species